CCCGCCGUGUCCCGCUGCGCGCGCAGCCGGAAGGCGCCGCGCCCGCCCCGCCGCGUAUUUAGCGGGAUCCCGGGGGGAAUCGGCCUUUCCUGCGGGGACGGAACCGGAGCGGCCGCGCCUGCCCGCCUCCAGCCGGGGAGCGUGCCUCGGCAGAAAGUGAAGCUCAAGAUGAGUUUGUUGCUGGCUUUGGAAAUCCUCAGUCUGGACUCUGCCAUGCCUCGCAAGCAGAAAGAUGCCACGUGAAUUCUGGAGCUACAGAAGUUCUGUGACAUCAGGUGAUCACCUCCACUGUCUUCCAGCCUUGUGUGAGCACAUAGGGCCAGAAGAGAGUCCACCACUUGUAGAAGUGUGGGUGUUUAAGGAGCUUGAAAGCAGCAGCGUGGAAUGUGGAGUUCUAAUGCACUUGGAAAUGCUUGCAUUGCCCUUCCUGCUCGUCAGAAAUACUGCUUGGUUCCAUAGUACAGCAGGGGAGUAGCUGUUCACUGAAAAUGAAUAAAGAGAAGUGACCUUCUGGGCAGUCUUAGAACUUACUGUGAAUUUUUGAGUGUAUCAAAUAAAUGGAUCAAAAGUGAAUAAGACAAAGAUUAAAAUGUGGGAAAAUCUGUGUUGUCUAAAUGACUGUUUACAGUGUUAGUAGUGGGUAUGAAUAAAAUCUUGUAUUUCUGUUUUCA